rnacentral:rRNA from 1 species
GACGAACGCUGGCGGCGUGCUUAACACAUGCAAGUCGAACGAAGUGGCGAACGGGUGAGUAACGCGUAAUCAACCUGCCCUUCAGAGGGGGACAACAGUUGGAAACGACUGCUAAUACCGCAUACUGAAGGAGGGGAUUGCGUCUGAUUAGCUCGUUGGAGGGGUAACGGCCCACCAAGGCGAUGAUCAGUAGGCGGGUUGGGAGGAUGAAACGCCAAAAUGGGACUGGAAAAAGGCCCAGACUCCUAAGGGAGGCAGCAGGGGGGAAACUUCCGCAAUGGACGAAAGUCUGACGGAGCAACGCCGCGUGAGUGAUGACGGCCUUCGGGUUGUAAAGCUCUGUUAAUCGGGACGCGGUACCGGAAUAGAAAGCCACGGCUAACUACGUGCCAGCAGCCGCGGUAAUAC